rnacentral:rRNA from 1 species
UACAGAGGUCUCAAGCGUUGUUCGGAUUCAUUGGGCGUAAAGGGUGCGUAGGCGGCGCGGUAAGUCGGGUGUGAAAUCUCGGGGCUUAACUCCGAAACUGCAUUCGAUACUGCCGUGCUUGAGGACUGGAGAGGAGACUGGAAUUACGGUGUAGCAGUGAAAUGCGUAGAUAUCGUAAGGAAGACCGGUGGCGAAGGCUAGUCUCUGGACAGUUACUGACACUGAGGCACGAAGGCCCAGGGGAGCAAACGGG